rnacentral:rRNA from 1 species
GAACGGUUGAGUAACACGUAGGCAACCUGCCCCGAAGUCGGGAAUAACGCAUCGAAAGGUGCGCUAAUACCGGAUGUGGACGCCGAUCGCCUGGUCGGUGCUCUAAAGGUGCAAAUCGCUUCGGGAUGGGCCUGCGGCCUAUCAGCUAGUUGGUGGGGUAACGGCCUACCAAGGCGACGACGGGUAGCUGGUCUGAGAGGAUGGUCAGCCAGACAGGGACUGAGACACGGCCCUGACUCCUUUGGGGGGCAGCAAUGAGGGAUAUUGCACAAUGGGGGCAACCCUGAUGCAGCGACGCCGCGUGGGUGACGAAGUCCUUCGGGAUGUAAAGCCCUUUUGCCGGGAAGAGAGGGACGGUACCCGGCGA